AUUUAAAUAGUUUAAUUAAAAUGUUAGUUUGUGGAACUAAGGAUGUAUUUUUAUACUUUAAAUU
rnacentral:tRNA from 1 species